rnacentral:rRNA from 1 species
UAUUGGACAAUGGGGGCAACCCUGAUCCAGCCGUGCCGCGUGUGUGAAGAAGGCCUUUUGGUUGUAACGCACUUUAAGCAGUGAAGAAGACUCCGUGGUUAAUACCCACGGACGAUGACAUUAGCUGCAGAAUAAGCACCGGCUAACUCUGUGCCAGCAGCCGCGGUAAUACAGAGGGUGCAAGCGUUAAUCGGAAUUACUGGGCGUAAAGCGAGCGUAGGUGGCUUGAUAAGUCAGAUGUGAAAUACCCGGGCUUAACCUGGGAACUGCAUCUGAUACUGUUGGGCUAGAGUAGGUGAGAGGAAGGUAGAGUUCCAGGUGUAGCGGUGAAAUGCGUAGAGAUCUGGAGGAAUACCGAUGGCGAGGGCAGCCUUCUGGCAUCAUACUGACACUGAGGCUCGAAAGCGUGGGUAGCGAACA